AUUUAGCUUUUCUAUUGGAAAUUGACAGAUUUGAAAUAAUAACGGAGUUCAUUUCUGACUUUCGGGCUGUUUUGACCUGACGUGGACGCAUGCCGUAGGUCUGAAGGGUUAGCCAGCAGUACCAGGAACCGCGCAGGAAUGCAGUAAGAUCUUUGUUUGAUUCCUCUGCAUGUAGGGAAUUAUCCAUGACAGCCUGAAGCUUGCGGGAACAGCACCGUGAGAUGGAGUACGUGAGGGACGGUGUUCUCAGGUUCUACCACUCCAUCCGGCCCUGUUUGUCGAGUUCUUCUCUUCUGUAUUUAUCUGGCACAUGAAUAUAUUUCCAUAAUGUGGUCGGAGCAGCAGCCUGCUUUGAAAAAGUCGUGGGAACGGCCUGUAGGCUUUGUUUGCACUGUCCAUUUAGGUGUGAAAAGAAAACCCAGAAAGUUCUGGACAGCAGCUGAUGUCUGUUGGUGAGGUCUGAUGAAGUUAAUCAUACGCAGCUUCAGCUUUGACAGUCAUUUCUUUUUAAAAGAGUCAUAUUUGGGAACUCCAGUUUCAGUUUGAAAUGUUGGCCCACCGUUUUUCUCCAGGCAACAACCUCCGAUCCGUCUGCUUCAGUCCCCAACGCUGCUCUUCCCUCCUGGUAAUCAAAAAGGAGCCACACUCUGAUGACAGACUGGAGAUAUUUGCUUAAGAAAUAUCCUGGAUCUUAUUAAAAUGCUUAGCAUUCCUCUCGUGGCUCGGGUUCUGCUCACAGUGCUCUCGGGUUUGAAGUCUCAAGAAACUGAAAUAAUCCUGUUUUACAUGAGACAUCUGGGUAUGAAGCACGUACAUAUGUUCCCUCUGCCAGGAUCAAGCUUUUUAUGGAGAAACAUAUUUUUAGCUCCUCGUGGGCCAGAACCAGACUCCCCGCUCAAACAUCUCUGUUCUGGCUCGCCGCCACAGAUCGCCUGUAGGUAAACGUGUUCUUAAAGGUUUAUUUCUCCUUUGUGGGGCAUCUGACGAUGAUUAGGUUUACUUCAGCGGGGUUGCUCAACCUGAACGAGCCAGGGAGUGCAGGAUGCGGCAGGAUGGCUCAAGCAAAGGAUUGUGGGCUGUUUGGGUUUGGAAUGACGUGGAGCCUGGGAGGAUACGGCUGACGGGUGUCUGCAUGAGGGUUGUGCACUUUUCCCCCAUUAUUGUGAGCCGAGGCCAAAAGGCAGGAGUAACCACAGCCUUGAGCGUCCACGAACGCAGAAUCCCACGCAGCUCCAAGCCUCCAAUUCCCGCUAAGACAUCCACGGAUGUGAACAGCACCCGGACUGGAGAAGGCCAGAAAGGGGAGACCAGUUUACCAUCAGUCUGCUUGUCUUUGAAGGAAGAUGAAUCUUUUCUAACUACUAAAAGAAGGCAAAAUGACUGAACAAUGAGCUAAAAAAAAAAAA